CCUGGGCCCAAGGCGCUAAGCCAUUCGAGCGAGCUAUAACGGUCGAGAUUAUAGAAGCCUUUAUAUCAGCCGGUUGUGUGUCUUCUCUGUGCUCAAUUUAAGGAUUUAAUUCACAAAAGACGAAUUGAAGCCAAAGGGCAUAAGUAUAUAGAGAAAGCAAAAAUGUGCUCUAGUUGCAAAGCAAGAAAAAUAGGUGAUUGCAGGUACAAAAAAUGUAUUAUAAAGAAUCGAAAAUAAAAUGUGCCUGAACAUUAA